CCUACGGGUCCGCAGCAGUGGGGAAUAUUGGACAAUGGGCGAAAGCCUGAUCCAGCCAUGCCGCGUGUGUGAAGAAGGCCUUCGGGUUGUAAAGCACUUUCAGUGGGGAAGAAAGCCUUGGGGCUAAUACCCUCGAGGAAGGACAUCACCCACAGAAGAAGCACCGGCUAACUCCGUGCCAGCAGCCGCGGUAAUACGGAGGGUGCGAGCGUUAAUCGGAAUUACUGGGCGUAAAGCGCGCGUAGGCGGUCUGAUAAGCCGGUUGUGAAAGCCCCGGGCUCAACCUGGGAACGGCAUCCGGAACUGUCAGGCUAGAGUGCAGGAGAGGAAGGUAGAAUUCCCGGUGUAGCGGUGAAAUGCGUAGAGAUCGGGAGGAAUACCAGUGGCGAAGGCGGCCUUCUGGACUGACACUGACGCUGAGGUGCGAAAGCGUGGGUAGCAAACAGGAUUAGAUACCCUUGUAGUC
rnacentral:rRNA from 1 species